UACAGGGGGUGCAAACGUUGCUCGGAAUCAUUGGGCGUAAAGCGCACGUAGGCGGUUCGUUAUGUCGGAUGUGAAAGCCCUUGGCUUAACCGAGGAAGUGCAUCCGAAACUGGCGAGCUAGAGUACUAAAGAGGAUCGCGGAAUUCCCGGUGUAGAGGUGAAAUUCGUAGAUAUCGGGAGGAACACCGGUGGCGAAGGCGGCGAGCUGGGUAGAUACUGACGCUGAGGUGCGAAAGCGUGGGGAGCAAACAGG
rnacentral:rRNA from 1 species